GACCUGCUUAAAGAGGCAGUCUGGCUGCUUGUUGGUGGAGCAGGUGUGCUGUGUUGGGGUGGAUCAUUUCUCACCCAGACUGUUUGGACUCUCCAGAGCCGGCUGAGUGGAACAGCUGAUCGACCAAUCUGCAGAGAUGGUGGCCACCCUCCCCCGGAAGCCCUGUCCCAGGGAGAGAUCGGAGCUCUGUCCUUAUAACCCUGACUGGAGUGGCUAAAGCUUCCACAGGGAUAAGUGUAUUUUUUGCAUCUAAAUAAGUAUGUCCUUUUCAUAUAUAAUCUAUUUAUUAUUCAUUUACUGUCUAAGUAUUUGAGUGACUAUGUUUUCCCUUCUGGGGAUAUAUUAGUUUACAAUAUUAAGAUCUUUUCUCUUGUGCAGGUUAAAUUUUAGCAGGGGUAGCGUGCAUAGGGAGACAGACAAUAAGUGAUAGACAUAUGUAAAUUGAGUUACAUGUCAAGAAGCU
rnacentral:lncRNA from 1 species